rnacentral:rRNA from 1 species
UACGUAGGUGGCAAGCGUUGUCCGGAAUUACUGGGUGUAAAGCGCGCGUAGGCGGUAGGCCAAGUCUGCUGUGAAAUCGCCCGGCUCAACUGGGCGCGGUCGGUGGAAACUGGUCAACUGGAGGACGGUAGAGGCGAGUGGAAUUCCCGGUGUAGUGGUGAAAUGCGUAGAGAUCGGGAGGAACACCAGUGGCGAAGGCGGCUCGGUGGGCCGGACCUGACGCUGAGGCGCGAAGGCGUGGGGAGCGAACGGG